GACGUAGGGCGCGAGCGUUGUCCGGAUUUAUUGGGCGUAAAGAGCUCGUAGGCGGCUUUGUCGCGUCGAAUGUGAAAACCCACAGCUCAACUGUGGGCUUGCAUUCGAUACGGGCAGGCUCGAGUUCGGUAGGGGAGACUGGAAUUCCUGGUGUAGCGGUGAAAAUGCGCAGAUAUCAGGAGGAACACCGGUGGCGAAGGCGGGGUCUCUGG
rnacentral:rRNA from 1 species